AUAAAAAGGUUGUUUGGCAAACUUUAAAUGAGCUUCAUCAUGCUUUUUCUUCAGCAUUGGAGUCUUGCGUGGUGAGUGUGCAAACAGGCUAU